UGGGGAAUAUUGCACAAUGGGCGCAAGCCUGAUGCAGCAACGCCGCGUGAACGAUGAAGGUCUUCGGAUCGUAAAGUUCUGUUGCAGGGGAAGAUAAUGACGGUACCCUGGGAGGAAGCCCCGGCUAACUACGUGCCAGCAGCCGCGGUAUUACGUAGGGGGCUAGCGUUAUCCGGAUUUACUGGGCGUAAAGGGUGCGUAGGUGGUCUUUCAAGUCGGUGGUUAAAGGCUACGGCUCAACCGUAGUUAGCCUCCGAAACUGGAAGACUUGAGUGCAGGAGAGGAAAGUGGAAUUCCCAGUGUAGCGGUGAAAUGCGUAGAUAUUGGGAGGAACACCAGUAGCGAAGGCGGCUUUCUGGACUGCAACUGACACUGAGGCACGAAAGCGUGGGUAGCAAACAGG
rnacentral:rRNA from 1 species